rnacentral:tRNA from 1 species
GGCGGGAUAGCUCAGUCGGUAGAGCAGAGGAAUCAUAAUCCUUGUGUCGUGGGUUCGAAUCCCUCUCUCGCUACCA